UACGGGGGGAGCAAGCGUUGUUCGGAUUUACUGGGCGUAAAGGGCGCGUAGGCGGCGUGGCAAGUCACUUGUGAAAUCUCCGGGCUUAACUCGGAACGGUCAAGUGAUACUGCUGUGCUAGAGUGCGGAAGGGGCAACUGGAAUUCUUGGUGUAGCGGUGAAAUGCGUAGAUAUCAAGAGGAACACCUGCGGCGAAGGCGGGUUGCUGGGCCGACACUGACGCUGAGGCGCGAAAGCGUGGGGAGCAAACAGG
rnacentral:rRNA from 1 species